AUAUAUAUAUAUAUGUAUAUAUAUGUGUGUGUGUGUGUGUGUGUGUGUGUAUAUACAGACACACACAUAUAUAUGCAUAUAUGUGUG
rnacentral:miRNA from 1 species